UGAAUAGAGAUUCUGCGGCACGGUCUUGGGAUCUGCGAUGCGGCUUUUCCACUUUGGCAGUCCAGCAGUGCUCCUCAUUCUCAGCCUUUUGUGGCAACGUGCGGAAUCGAGCUGUACCGAUUUAGACAAUCCACCAAGCGACUUCAAGUAUUGCUACAACGAAGAUGGACAUCGCUGGGGCUGCCGUUCAGACAAAAGAUGCCCCUCUCCUUGUGACAUAUGUUACGGAUACAAGCCAGGCUGUCGAGCAGCAUGCGCCUACAAUACAACAGCUUAUUGGAUA